GAUGAAGAACGUAGCGAAAUGCGAUAAGUAAUGUGAAUUGCAGAAUUCAGUGAAUCAUCGAAUCUUUGAACGCACAUUGCGCCCCUCGGUAUUCCGAGGGGCAUGCCUGUUCGAGCGUCAUUAUAACCCCUCAAGCUCAGCUUGGUGUUGGGGCCUGCUGCACUGGCAGCCCUUAAAAUCAGUGGCGGCGCCAUCUGGCUCUAAGCGUAGUAAUUCUUCUCGCUAUGGAGUCCUGGUGGAUGCUUGCCAUCAACCCCCAAUUUUUCUAUGGUUGACCUCGGAUCAGGUAGGGAUACCCGCUGAACUUAAGCAUAUCAAUAAGCGGAGGA
rnacentral:misc_RNA from 1 species